GGAGUCCCUCCUCUAAAACCACUCUGUGUGGGGAACAUGAGAGCCAGACCAAAGCUCAGAGGAACCCACCUGGACCUCCACCCAGCUCUGUGUCCUUACAGAGUGACACGUCUAAAGGUGAACCCAUUCAUUUUAAAGUCCAGCCUGUGUCUGCUGCAGAGAGAGUGGACCAGCAGAGCUCAGAGGCUCCCAGUGGUCAGUCUGCCCAGCAGCAUCAAACACAG